rnacentral:rRNA from 1 species
CAAUAGCGUAUAUUUAAGUUGUUGCAGUUAAAAGCUCGUAGUUGGAUUUCGGAUGUGAACGACCGGUCCGCCGUUGCGGUGUGCACUGGACGUUUGUAUCUUGUUGUCGGGGACGCGCUCCUGACCUUAACUGGGAGGGACGCGGAGUCGGCGCUGUUACUUUGAAAAAUUGGAGUGUUCAAAGCUGAAUACAUUAGCAUGGAAUAACGCUAUAGGACUCUGGUCCUAUUGUGUUGGUCUUCGGGACCGGAGUAAUGAUUAAGAUGGACAGUUGGGGCAUUCGUAUUUCAUUGUCAUGAGGUGAAAUUCUUUAACUGGCUCAUGACGAACCACUGCGAAAGCAUUUGCCAAGAAUGUUUUUCAUUAAUCAAGAACGAAAGUCAGAGGGUCGAAGAUGAUCAGAUACC